rnacentral:rRNA from 1 species
UAGGGAAUCUUCCGCAAUGGGCGAAAGCCUGCCGGAGCAACGCCGCGUGAGUGAUGAAGGUCUUCGGAUCGUAAAACUCUGUUAUUAGGGAAGAACAAAUGUGUAAGUAACUAUGCACGUCUUGACGGUACCUAAUCAGAAAGCCACGGCUAACUACGUGCCAGCAGCCGCGGUAAUACGUAGGUGGCAAGCGUUAUCCGGAAUUAUUGGGCGUAAAGCGCGCGUAGGCGGUUUUUUAAGUCUGAUGUGAAAGCCCACGGCUCAACCGUGGAGGGUCAUUGGAGACUGGAAAACUGGAGUGCAGAAGAGGAAAGUGGAAUUCCAUGUGUAGCGGUGAAAUGCGCAAAGAUAUGGAGGAACACCAGUGGCGAAGGCGACUUUCUGGUCUGUAACUGACGCUGAUGUGCGAAAGCGGGGGGAUCAAACAGG